rnacentral:rRNA from 1 species
UACGUAGGGGGCAAGCGUUGUCCGGAUUUAUUGGGCGUAAAGGGUGCGUAGGCGGCGCGGUAAGUCGGGUGUGAAAUCUCGGAGCUUAACUCCGAAACUGCGUUCGAUACUGCCGUGCUUGAGGACUGGAGAGGAGACUGGAAUUUACGGUGUAGCGGUGAAAUGCGUAGAUAUCGUAAGGAAGACCAGUGGCGAAGGCGGGUCUCUGGACAGUUCCUGACGCUGAGGCACGAAGGUCAGGGGAGCAGACGGG